rnacentral:rRNA from 1 species
UACAGAGGUCUCAAGCGUUGUUCGGAUUCAUUGGGCGUAAAGGGUGUGUAGGUGGCGCCGUAAGUCGAGUGUGAAAGCCCCGGGCUUAACUUGGGAAUUGCGCUCGAAACUACGUGGCUGGAGUGUGGCAGAGGAAGGUGGAAUUCCACGUGUAGCGGUGAAAUGCGUAGAGAUGUGGAGGAACACCAAUGGCGAAGGCAGCCUUCUGGGCCAACACUGACGCUCAUGCACGAAAGCGUGGGGAGCAAACAGG